rnacentral:rRNA from 1 species
GUGUCAGCAGCCGCGGUAAUACGUAGGGGGCAAGCGUUGUCCGGAUUUAUUGGGCGUAAAGAGCGUGUAGGCGGCCAGACAGGUCCGUUGUGAAAACUAGAGGCUUAACCUCUAGACGUCGAUGGAAACCGUUUGGCUAGAGUCCGGAAGAGGAGAAUGGAAUUCCUGGUGUAGCGGUGAAAUGCGCAGAUAUCAGGAAGAACACCCGUGGCUAAGGCGGUUCUCUAGUACGGUACUGACGCUGAGACGCGAAAGCGUGGGGAGCGAACAGGAUUAGAAACCCCCGUAGUCC